rnacentral:rRNA from 1 species
CGCGGCCUAUCAGCUUGUUGGUGGGGUGAUGGCCUACCAAGGCGUCGACGGGUAGCCGGCCUGAGAGGGCGACCGGCCACAUUGGGACUGAGAUACGGCCCAAACUCCUACGGGAGGCAGCAGUGGGGAAUAUUGCACAAUGGGCGGAAGCCUGAUGCAGCAACGCCGCGUGCGGGAUGACGGCCUUCGGGUUGUAAACCGCUUUCAGCAGGGACGAAGCGUGAGUGACGGUACCUGCAGAAGAAGUACCGGCUAACUACGUGCCAGCAGCCGCGGUGAUACGUAGGGUGCGAGCGUUGUCCGGAUUUAUUGGGCGUAAAGAGCUUGUAGGCGGUUGGUUGCGUCGAAAGUGCAAACUCAGGGCUUAACUCAGAGCCUGCUUUCGAUACGGGCUGACUGGAGGAAGGUAGGGGAGAAUGGAAUUCCCGGUGGAGCGGUGGAAUGCGCAGAUAUCGGGAGGAACACCAGCGGCGAAGGCGGUUCUCUGGACCUUUCCUGACGCUGAGAAGCGAAAGCGUGGGGAGCAAACAGGCUUAGAUACCCUGGUAGUCCACGCUGUAAACGGUGGGUACUAGGUGUGGGGGACAUUCCACGUUCUCUGUGCCGUAGCUAACGCAUUAAGUACCCCGCCUGGGGAGUACGG